rnacentral:rRNA from 1 species
GAUGAACGCUGGCGGCGUGCCUAAUACAUGCAAGUCGAGCGAACAGACGAGGAGCUUGCUCCUCUGACGUUAGCGGCGGACGGGUGAGUAACACGUGGAUAACCUACCUAUAAGACUGGGAUAACUUCGGGAAACCGGAGCUAAUACCGGAUAACAUGUUGAACCGCAUGGUUCAACAGUGAAAGACGGUUUUGCUGUCACUUAUAGAUGGAUCCGCGUCGCAUUAGCUAGUUGGUAAGGUAACGGCUUACCAAGGCAACGAUGCGUAGCCGACCUGAGAGGGGGGGCGGCCACACGGGAAAGGAGACAAGGCACAGACUCAGACGGGAGGCAGCAGUAGGGAAGCGUCAGAAAUGGGCGAAAGACGGAAGGAGCAACGACGAGGGAGGGAGGAAGGUCGUCGGAUAGGAAAACUCUGUGAUUAGGGAAGAACAAAUGGGCAAGUAACGAUGCACGUCGUGACGGUACCUAAUCAGAAAGCCAAGGCUAACUACGUG